UCCGUGCUCCUAAGCCGUUUCCGAUCAUGGAGCUUUCGAAUCGACGAUCGGAUCCAUUAGACUUGAUCUAGCGUAUUUGAAAUAUUUAGAAAAUAAAUUUUGCGAUUUUUCGAUAUCAUUUACCUAGCGAUCAAAAUGUUCAAAAUCAAUAAUUUUUAAUGAUUGACGUAUACCAUUUGCAAGUUUAAUGGUGUAGAAGUAUUCAAAUCAGAUAAAAUUUUGAUAGAAAAUUUUUUAUACUAUUUACAGGAAGAUCAAUAUCUCUGAUCGAAAAUUUUAGUUCCAUAUCA
rnacentral:lncRNA from 1 species